GUGGCGGAGGUGGAGAUGGUGUUGAUGAUGCCGGUGAUUGGUUGGUUACCAUUAUUUUUCUCAUUGGGUGCUAUUGGAAAUUAUGCCCUAAAGCCAAUCGUUUGACGAUUGUGCUAAUUAUAAAUACAUAUGAAUUGUUUAUUAAUAAAAGUUAUUUGGCUUUUUUAUCAUAAAGUAUAUUUUUUUUUUAUGAACUCCUAUAUUAUGAUG
rnacentral:lncRNA from 1 species